rnacentral:rRNA from 1 species
UUUAAAUUGAGAGUUUGAUCCUGGCUCAGGACGAACGCUGGCGGCGUGCCUAACACAUGCAAGUCGAGCGAUGAAACUUUCUUCGGGAAGUGGAUUAGCGGCGGACGGGUGAGUAACACGUGGGUAACCUGCCUCAAAGAGUGGGAUAGCCUCCCGAAAGGGAGAUUAAUACCGCAUAACAUUAUUUUAUGGCAUCAUAAAAUAAUCAAAGGAGCAAUCCGCUUUGAGAUGGACCCGCGGCGCAUUAGCUAGUUGGUGAGGUAACGGCUCACCAAGGCAACGAUGCGUAGCCGACCUGAGAGGGUGAUCGGCCACAUUGGAAC